UGUAGUUUAGAUCAAAUAUAUGCAGCCUCGGUGAGCAGAAGAAACUUCUUACAAAAAACUUAAGUGUCCAAAUAAGCAUGAGGGUCACAGUAUGUGAUCUGAAGAGUUCUAUAAUAAUAAUGUUAUAGUUUUCUUCCUUGCCCCCAACAACUGAACACAAUCAUGCACUUACUGCAUAUAUUACAAGAUGUUUUAGCAUGUACUGGUGCUGAAUGAGUCCCUUCCCAUGAGCCUCUGCGGAUGGGCGUGAUGCAUUAUAGUGAUCCAGCGCCCUCUGCUGGUGGACUCAAGGGCUGCGAUUUUACAAAGACACUAAAGUUCACACUGGUUUUAUUUUAAUGUUCGAUUUUAACAAUUAAUGUAACACUAUUAAAUGCCAGUUUUGUGCAGUUUGGAUAUGCAAAAUGAAACUAUGCACGACACACUGCAUGAAUCUGAAUGAUACAGUGAAUGAAUGAUGUGUUUGAUAUUGUAACUGCAGUUUUAAAAGCACUUUGAUGCAAUCCAGGCCGUUAAUAUCUGCUGGUUUUUAUUGAUAAGUUUCUGUUAGAAGGAAAUAGAGGUUAUAUUGUUAGGAAAUGUAAUGACAUUGCCUUUGACUCCAUUUUAACACUUCGUAGUUUCAUUGUGUCUUUUGGUGUUUUGUUUUCCUCUGGUUCUGUUGUUUUUCUUUCUUCGUUUGACACGUUACCUCUUAAACUCACCGUGCUGAAAAUUAAAGAUAAAAUAACAUUCUGUACAUUCUUCCUCAAUCUCUUCAUUAUUGCAAAUGUCUUAUUGCAAUAAACUGGUGUUUGGCCUUUGAAUGCA